UCCUACGGGGAGGCAGCAGUAGGGAAUCUUCCGCAAUGGACGAAAGUCUGACGGAGCAACGCCGCGUGAGUGAUGAAGGUUUUCGGAUCGUAAAGCUCUGUUGUUAGGGAAGAACAAGUACCGUUCGAAUAGGGCGGUACCUUGACGGUACCUAACCAGAAAGCCACGGCUAACUACGUGCCAGCAGCCGCGGUAAUACGUAGGUGGCAAGCGUUGUCCGGAAUUAUUGGGCGUAAAGGGCUCGCAGGCGGUUUCUUAAGUCUGAUGUGAAAGCCCCCGGCUCAACCGGGGAGGGUCAUUGGAAACUGGGGAACUUGAGUGCAGAAGAGGAGAGUGGAAUUCCACGUGUAGCGGUGAAAUGCGUAGAGAUGUGGAGGAACACCAGUGGCGAAGGCGACUCUCUGGUCUGUAACUGACGCUGAGGAGCGAAAGCGUGGGGAGCGAACAGGAUUAGAUACCCUGGUAGUCCACGCCGUAAACGAUGAGUGCUAAGUGUUAGGGGGUUUCCGCCCCUUAGUGCUGCAGCUAACGCAUUAAGCACUCCGCCUGGGGAGUACGGUCGCAAGNA
rnacentral:rRNA from 1 species